CUACGUGCCAGCAGCCGCGGUAAUACGUAGGGCGCGAGCGUUGUCCGGAAUUAUUGGGCGUAAAGGGCUUGUAGGCGGUUGGUCGCGUCUGCCGUGAAAUCCUCUGGCUUAACUGGGGGCGUGCGGUGGGUACGGGCUGGCUUGAGUGCGGUAGGGGAGACUGGAACUCCUGGUGUAGCGGUGGAAUGCGCAGAUAUCAGGAAGAACACCGGUGGCGAAGGCGGGUCUCUGGGCCGUUACUGACGCUGAGGAGCGAAAGCGUGGGGAGCGAACAGGAUUAGAUACCCUGGUAGUCCACGCUGUAAACGUUGGGCACUAGGUGUGGGGGCCACCCGUGGUUUCUGCGCCGUAGCUAACGCUUUAAGUGCCCCGCCUGGGGAGUACGGCCGCAAGGCUAAAACUCAAAGGAAUUGACGGGGGCCCGCACAAGCGGCGGAGCAUGCGGAUUAAUUCGAUGCAACGCGAAGAACCUUACCAAGGCUUGACAUGC
rnacentral:rRNA from 1 species